UUUUUUCCAUUUCCGAGGCGAGACCCUUAGUAUCAUAUUGAAGACUGUACUAUGUUGACAUAUUUAGUCUCAGAAAAUUUCAUAGUUACAUCGAGAACUCAUCCUGAACCAAUUUAAAAGGUAGGAAUGACGAAGAGACAACUAUCCUCCAAAAAAUGAAGUGUAUGUCCGCAAUUAUAGGCAAUCGUAAGGUAUUCAACAAAGAGAAAAACCUUUACUGUGUAGACCGCUAUAAAAGACCUCGACAUGAAAAAUGUGAAACAAAUUUGAAAUAUAUACAAUUGAGAAAAUUAACGACCUAAUCCUUUGUAAUCUGGAACAUCGGUGUUAAAGCACAACAUGAAGACACACUCUGUAAAACCAGUAGCAAAGGGAUCAAAUCAAAAAAAUACUACAUAGUUCCAAGGCACAAAAACAACUAAUAUUGAAACAUAAGACAAAAAAGAACCGGAAUGAGAGUACCCUCAGUCACUGAAAUCUGGUUUAAACCUAAUUACACUGACUAAUAAAUGAAUCAUUUGCCAC
rnacentral:lncRNA from 1 species